rnacentral:hammerhead_ribozyme from 1 species
AUUCAGCUGACGAGUCCGAAAUAGAACGAAACACCUGUCCAAGAU